AUUGAACGCUGGCGGCAGGCCUAACACAUGCAAGUCGGACGGUAGCACAGAGGAGCUUGCUCCUUGGGUGACGAGUGGCGGACGGGUGAGUAAUGUCUGGGGAUCUGCCCGAUAGCGGGGGAUAACCACUGGAAACGGUGGCUAAUACCGCAUAACGUCGCAAGACCAAAGAGGGGGACCCUCGGGCCUCGCACUAGCGGAUGAACCCAGAUGGGAUUAGCUAGUAGGCGGGGUAAUGGCCCACCUAGGCGACGAUCCCUAGCUGGUCUGAGAGGAUGACCAGCCACACUGGGACUGAGACACGGUCCAGACUCCUACGGGAGGCAGCAGUGGGGAAUAUUGCACAAUGGGCGCAAGCCUGAUGCAGCCAUGCCGCGUGUAUGAAGAAGGCCUUCGGGUUGUAAAGUACUUUCAGCGGGGAGGAAGGCGGUGAGGUUAAUAACCUCGCCGAUUGACGUUACCCGCAGAAGAAGCACCGGCUAACUCCGUGCCAGCAGCCGCGGUAA
rnacentral:rRNA from 1 species